rnacentral:sRNA from 1 species
CUCACAGCCGGUAUCGAAAACGUCGGCCACCCCCCUCCCUGCGUAUACGUCACCGUCUGCCCCCCCUCGUCCACAUAAACCCCCGGCGGAUCCCCCUCGUCCCCUACGCAGUCCUGGUACACACCAUCCCACCCGAUCCCAUUCGACGUGAAGAAAUAACACCCCAUCUCGUCGUACACGGUAGGGCAGUACUGCGCGUCGGAGCAUGCGCGCACGCAGUAGAUCGUAGAUGAUAUCAUUGUCUACUUGAUUAUCAUCCGUGGUGUAUAAAACAGCCCCGUCGGGUGUAUUCCCCACACUAUCGAACUGGGCACCUUGGUCGCCUGCCGGAAUAUUGAUCUUUGUAAAAUCCCCCCUGUGCCUUUUGUAAGGCAAACCUGUUCGUCUUCACAUACGUCACCCCAUUCAACGUCCCCUCUGGCACCACUCGAUUCCCAUGUCGCCGGUCCGUGCACCACGAAACGACGUCUCUGUUUAUUUGCGAAAUGGAAGACGUGUUGGAGGGUAGAGGAGAUGGGGGACCGAACAGGCAGAAAUCCGUAUGCGAGAUGAGGUAGAGAGAGCGCGGGGGGUCGCCUUCUCCAUCUCCAUGGACAUUUCGAUGAGGAUGAUGAUAUUGCGCGGUGGUAUGGCGGAUGAGGAGAAAGAGGAAUAGUAGUGGGGUUGUGCGGCUCAGUCUUUGCGGGAGAGCCGCCGGUCGGGGAUGGGGGUGGGACAAUGAGGAAAAGGAAAAGGGCAUGUUUAUGUCUGUGUCUGUGUCUGCCUGUUCGAUUUUACUGCGGGCAACAAGGAUACAAAGAUGCAAAGAUUGGUUUCACCUUUUACCAGCUGUCGACUCUUAAUUGGUACAAAGCUCACACGCCGAGACGAUACUCGGGGGAGAGACUGGGGAAUAACAAAAGAGAACUAGACAUCCUUUGUCUCGUGAUAUCACAAAGGAUAGACGGGGUACAUGCCAUUUUCUUAUUACUCAUAUAUAUUAUCGCCAGACGACCAGAGUUGUAUUCUACCGCUCGUGUUACCACCAACGACCCUGUCAACGAUAUUCGGAUGUGAAGCCGUCACCGUCGGCACAGCCGUCACACUAAAUUCAGGCAAUUAGCUUACUCUCAUUUGGAGACAGCACACAGCCGAAAAAAACCCACUCAUCCGUCCAGAGCGCCACAAUCUUCUCCCCCGUAGCAGAAACAACAUCCAAAGUCCUCUUCAUAUUCCCCACCGUAAAAUGCGGCAUGUACUCCAUAUUCAAACUCCAUUGCGCUCUCAAGAUUGUCAACCAUCUCCCCGUUUGGCAAUUAUGUCUCACGACCUUGGUCGGCUUGAAACCGUUCCCGUUGACGUUGUCGUUGACGUUGACGCUUGAUACCAACGGGUCAACAUUGAAUACACGUAAAUGAUCAUCAUAGCUCGUCGUGAGAAUACGGCGUCCCCAUGGAUCCCAGUACGCGCUGCUGCACGAUUUACCAUGCUGCCAUUUGGCGCGCAUCAGGCCUUUGCCUUGCGGGGAAGCGAGGUAGGACGUGAGGGUGUUGUAGUCGGACUCGAGGGUCGGGUGCGUGUUUUGCGGCGCGGUUUCUCCUUGUUCGGUGGCGGGGAGGGAAGCGACAGGGAUAGGGACAGGGUGGGAGGAGAUGGAAAAGAGGUGGCGGGUAUCCCAUAUUCGGACAUGUUGGUCGUUACCGGCCGUGCAAAUCAGGUGCGGCAUCAGUGCUAUAUGGAGCAAGCCCCUGCUUUUAAUUUAUUUAAACCAAUAAAAAUAAAACCCCCCCGACUCACGGUUCACACUCACACCGCCCAGCUUUGCACCCCUCCCUUCCUCUUGUACAACCCAUCGCCUCCUUCCACUCUCUUUUUUACUCUCCCUCGUAUCCCAAUGGCUUAUCCCACCAUUCUUAUCCACCAUCCACGCUUCUUGCGCACCAGGUAAAAGGUCAAAAUGGUUGAUAAGCAUGUCUUCGUCCUGGAAUGAAAACAGUUCGGUAGAUUGGAGGGUCGAAAAGUCGAGAUGUCGGAGGGAACAGUCAUAUGCAGUAGAGAAAAGCUAUAUAGCAUCUCUUGUAAGAUGGUGACUUUGGCCCCUGGGAUUAUGGGGGGAGAAAAAAAAACUUACACCAGAUCCAUUGACAGGAUCGACCUUCAUACAAGAGAUCGAGUUCUUUGCAUGUGCCUGCACGCGCCAUACUCGGCCUUCUUGAUACUCGUCCUCCUCUUUUGCAUUCAUCCCACCACUGGUAUCAUCUUCAUUCUCAGGCUUCUCCAUAGGCGGACCCAAGGCAUCCCAUCUACAAAAUUCCGUAAUCAGCUUGCGCCUAAGAAAAGAAAAGAAAACUAUAACUUUACAUUCCAAGUUGUCCGUAUUUAUCACCCACCAACACUAGUGUCUUGGUCUUCUCCGGGUGCACACACAUGCUGAAGACUCGUUCAUUGGUAACCUUGGUGUUCCCUUUAAGACUCAUAUCUUUAAAAGCAUCUUUGAGUCUUUGGACUUCCAAAGGGACGGCGGUAUCAGAGUCGGCAUACGCUUCAUGGGCGGAUACUGUUUCGGCUGGAUAGGUCCGGGGAUUCGAUAGCUCGGCGAUGGAUUGAAGAUACUUUUCCUGUAUGUAACCCCGC